UACGGAGGGGGCUAGCGUUGUUCGGAAUUACUGGGCGUAAAGCGCGCGUAGGCGGACCUGCAAGUCGGGGGUGAAAGCCCGAGGCUCAACCUCGGAACUGCCUUCGAUACUGCGGGUCUCGAGUCCGGGAGAGGUGAGUGGAAUUCCUAGUGUAGAGGUGAAAUUCGUAGAUAUUAGGAAGAACACCAGUGGGCGAAGGCGG
rnacentral:rRNA from 1 species